UGCGAUCUGGAGUCGCCGAUGAAGCAGC
rnacentral:piRNA from 1 species